CAUCCAUCCCGAGCGACCGAGAGACCUGGCUCGUCGACGUCGCAGCAACCGCUCACUCGUGACGGACACCGAGUGGGGGCAGGUGCUAACGCCAGGCCCGAUGGAGG
rnacentral:ncRNA from 2 species